rnacentral:rRNA from 1 species
UAGGGAAUCUUCGGCAAUGGACGAAAGUCUGACCGAGCAACGCCGCGUGAGUGAAGAAGGUUUUCGGAUCGUAAAACUCUGUUGUUAGAGAAGAACAAGGACGUUAGUAACUGAACGUCCCCUGACGGUAUCUAACCAGAAAGCCACGGCUAACUACGUGCCAGCAGCCGCGGUAAUACGUAGGUGGCAAGCGUUGUCCGGAUUUAUUGGGCGUAAAGCGAGCGCAGGCGGUUUCUUAAGUCUGAUGUGAAAGCCCCCGGCUCAACCGGGGAGGGUCAUUGGAAACUGGGAGACUUGAGUGCAGAAGAGGAGAGUGGAAUUCCAUGUGUAGCGGUGAAAUGCGUAGAUAUAUGGGGGAACACCAGUGGCGAUGGCGGCUCUCUGGUCUGUAACUGACGAUGAGGCUCGAAAGCGUGGGGAGUAAACAGG